rnacentral:rRNA from 1 species
GACGAACGCUGGCGGCGUGCUUAACACAUGCAAGUCGAACGGAAAGGCCCUGCUCUUGUGGGGUGCUCGAGUGGCGAACGGGUGAGUAACACGUGAGUAACCUGCCCUUGACUUUGGGAUACCUCCAGGAAACUGGGGCUAAUACCGGAUAGGAGCUCCUGCUGCACGGUGGGGGUGGGAAAGUUUCGGCGGUUGGGGAUGGACUCGCGGCUUAUCAGCUUGUUGGUGGGGUAGUGGCUUACCAAGGCUUUGACGGGUAGCCGGCCUGAGAGGGUGACCGGCCACAUUGGGACUGAGAUACGGCCCAGACUGCUACGGGAGGCAGCAGUGGAGAAUAUUGCACAAUGGGCGGAAGCCGGAUGCAGCAACGCCGCGUGCGGGAUGACGGCCUUCGGGGUGUAAACCGCUUUCGCCUGUGACGAAGCGUGAGUGACGGUAAUGGGUAAAGAAGCACCGGCUAACUACGUG